rnacentral:rRNA from 1 species
AAUCAACGCUGGCGACGUGCCUCAGACAUGCAAGUCGAACGAUUAAAGCUCUCUUCGGAGAGUGCGUAGAGUGGCGCACGGGUGAGUAACACGUAAGUAAUCUACCUUCGAGUGGGGAAUAACGUCCGGAAACGGACGCUAAUACCGCAUAAUGCAGCGGCAUCGCAAGAUGACAGUUGUUAAAGAUUUAUCGCUUGAAGAGGAGCUUGCGGCAGAUUAGCUAGUUGGUAAGGUAAUGGCUUACCAAGGCUACGAUCUGUAACCGGUCUUAGAGGACGGUCGGUCACACUGACACUGAAUAACGGGUCAGACUCCUACGGGAGGCAGCAGUCGGGAAUUUUGGGCAAUGGGCGAAAGCCUGACCCAGCAACGCCGCGUGAAGGAUGAAGUAUUUCGGUAUGUAAACUUCGAAAGAAUGGGAAGAAUAAAUGACGGUACCAUUUAUAAGGUCCGGCUAACUACGUGCCAGCCGCCGCAGUAAGAC